rnacentral:rRNA from 1 species
GACGAACGCUGGCGGCGUGCUUAACACAUGCAAGUCGAACGGAAAGGCCCUGCUUGCUGGGUACUCGAGUGGCGAACGGGUGAGUAACACGUGGGUGAUCUGCCCUGCACGUCGGGAUAAGCCUGGGAAACUGGGUCUAUUACCGGUUAGUAGUCAUGUUUAGUGUGAUGGUUGGAAAGUUUUUUCGGUGUAGGAUGAGCUCGCGGCCUAUUAGCUUGUUGGUGGGGUAAUGGCCUACCAAGGCGGCGACGGGUAGCCGGCCUGAGAGGGUGGACGGCCACAUUGGGACUGAGGUGCGGCCCAGAUUCCUAAGGGAGGAAGAAGUGGGGAAUAUUGCACAAUGGGCGCAAGCCGGAUGCAGAGACGCCGCGUGGGGGAUGACGGCCUUAGGGUUGUAAACUCCUUUCGCUAGGGACGAAGCUUUUUGUGACGGUACCUAGAGAAGAAGCACCGGCUAACUACGUG